rnacentral:snoRNA from 18 species
AAGGCUCUCACGAACAAUCCCACUGGUGAGUGUAUCUUCUUAGUCUCCUACGUGGACCUAAGAGUGCCUAGA